rnacentral:misc_RNA from 1 species
GAAAUGCGAUAAGUAGUGUGAAUUGCAGAAUUCAGUGAAUCAUCGAAUCUUUGAACGCACAUUGCGCCCUUUGGUAUUCCUUAGGGCAUGCCUGUUCGAGCGUCAUUUAAACCUUCAAGCUCAGCUUGGUGAUGGGUGACUAUCCUCCCCUCGCGGGGGGGACUCGCCUCAAAAACAUUGGCGGCCGGUACAUUGGCUUCGAGCGCAGCAGAAACGCGGUCUCGAGUCCGGUGGAUCGGCUCCCAUAAGCCUUCUUUUUUAUUUUGACCUCGGAUCAGGUAGGGAUACCCGCUGAACUUAAGC